GCCAGUGUGACGUAGUGGUUUGAAUGUUUGACUAUGACUCUGGAGACCAGGGUUUGAUCCCUGCUUGGCCA